CUCACUGAUUCCUCCCUCUUGACGAACUGUAAUGUCAUUAAUUUGGUGUUGCAGGAAAUCAGGACUGUUACUUUGAAAAAAUUAGAGUGUUUAAAGCAGGCUUAGGCUUGAAUACAUUAGCAUGGAAUAAUGAAAUAGGACGUUUGAUCCUAUUUUGUUGGUUUCUAGGAUCGACGUAAUGAUUAAUAGGGAUAGUUGGGA
rnacentral:rRNA from 1 species